AUGAAAUUAAAAUAUGUAGUUCAUGUGAUUUUUAAAAUUAAAUCCACCUCUAAUAAAGAAGUCUCAUGCCUACAUCAAAUGUUUACAACUAACAAGUGGGUAUGUAUGUCUAUGAACCAUAUCCUCAACCAUACUUGGCCACGUGAAUUUGCUCCAAACUCCAAACUACAAAGCUCAAACCUCAAAAACGUGCAACUCACGCGCCAUGAACACAACUGGAAAAACAAACCACAACAUGACAGAGGAAACUGUAGGGUCAUAACUUCUAGGAUAUUCUCAGCAUGGCAUCCUUAA